UACGUAGGGAGCAAGCGUUGUCCGGAAUCAUUGGGCGUAAAGCGCGCGUAGGUGGCCUCAUAAGUCCGCUGUGAAAGUCAAAGGCUCAACCUUUGAAAGCCGGUGGAUACUGUGAGGCUAGAGUACGGAAGAGGCGAGUGGAAUUCCUGGUGUAGCGGUGGAAUGCGCAGAUAUCAGGAGGAACACCAAUAGCGAAGGCAGCUCGCUGGGACGUUACUGACACUGAGGCGCGAAGGCGUGGGGAGCGAACAGG
rnacentral:rRNA from 1 species